rnacentral:lncRNA from 1 species
UUACAUUCAAAGGAGAAAUAAUAUGGCUAAAUUGUUCAAGCUUGUUAAUCUUAUCAUUCUCUCUUUUUUCCUAUUUUUUGUUGUAUGCGACGGUAAUAAGCACUUUCUCAUCUUUCCUUAAAGUAUUUUUUUUUCUGGUCAAAUAGUUUAAUGACUAGAAAUUUAACAUUUAAAGUGAAUAAAAAAGAUGAAUAGAGUUCGAACUCCAAACUCUCUACAUAUAUAAUGUAAUAUUUCUGUCAACUGGGCAAAAUUCACUAGAUUAAAUAAACUUUUUGUAACAUUAUUUUAUUGUUGUUUUAUAUCGCAGCAUGGACUUAUUAUUGUGUUACUCAAAGGACUUGUCCAGACAGUAUGUGCGUCUUUCCUGAACUACCGAAGUGCAGGUUCUUUAAAUGUAGAUGCAAAAAAGAAUAUAUGUAAGUUUUAAAAUAAUUUUUCUUUUUUUUUUGUUCCAAUAAAAUAAUUUUUCUUUAUUACUUUAUAGCCUCAAUUAUAUAUUUAUUUAUUUUUAGCCUAUAAUAUUUAUAUCAUGAUUCUUCUUUUGUCAAAAAAUAAUACUAUAAUCCUAAUGGUAUACUAACAUUGGAAUAUUUUUGCAGUAUCAACGAUAUGUAGUUCGGGUUCAAGUUCUUAAAUUGGUGGUUGACACCGUCUAAUAAUGAUUAUCGGAUGAAGAUUUUUAUAUUAAUCUUUUUUAAAAUGUAUUUGAUAAAUAAAUGUUGUAAUCAACAACUUUGAACUAGAGAAGUGUUAACUUCUUUGGAAGAAAUAGUGAAAAAUGUCAUUUUAUUUGUGCUUCUAAGUUCACUGUAUACCUAAAUUAGAAUAAUUUUUUAAUUGAAAAUAUAUUAUAUAUUAAUAUAAAAACGAAAAAAUACAAGAAGUUUAGA